rnacentral:ncRNA from 2 species
AGCAACUGCUAGAGGUGCCGUGAAACGGCUGAGAGAAAAACAAUCAAGUUUUUCAACUCUUUGAACCUGAUCUGGAUGAUGCCAGCGUAGGGAAGUGGUUUAACCAAUGG